AAGCUCAGAGGAGCUUCCUUGGUUGGCCAUAUUCCAAGCAUAUCACACAUCGUUGCUAGAAUUAAGUGCUGUCUGAAUGACUUCACUGGAAGAGGACAAGUAGUAGCUCAUGCCUGGUGCUUCCUGGACUUUGCCUUAUAUCCAUUUUUGAGUUGCUGAUUUAAACUUGUGUCUUUUUGCUGUAAUAAGCCAUAACCCCCAGAGCUGAUACGGCCAUGAAGAAAUAUGUUGAAAAGGAUAUCAAAAGUCACAGAAAUACAGCCUCUCAGUUGGUAGUUAUUUCAUUUAAUGAAGGCAUUUUUCCGCAGUGAAGAGGAGACCUGGAUGAAAAGAUCUCUAGAAAAAAGAGAGGAAAUUCCUGCAGAAUGUAUAUAGAAUAGUGGAAUUGGAUUCACAAAAGGAGACAUCAUCUAAUGGAGUUAAGUUCAAGUCUUUCCAAACUUGGAACACAUGCAAAACCUUAAUCCAACGUCAGAUUUUUAAAAAAUGUGUGGACACAAAGCACCGAGCACUCACAUUCUUGAGGAGAAAAGGCAAAGUUGAAAAAUAGUUGCUAUCUUCUUUCUGAAUAGCUGAAGCUUCACUCAUCUUCAAAUUCUGAACUUUUUGCUGCAGUUUGUGGACCUGGAGAGAAAAAAAUCUAACAUUUUAGUCAAAAAUAUACUUAAAAUAUACCUUACAAUAGAUGGAUUGGAUUGAUGGUUUAAAGAUUAUGUGAAAUUAAAAAGUUCGGUACUAGUCUAUGUAAAUCAAGAUGUCUGAGUUGAAUGAACUACAUCCAGGAUAUGGAGUAAGUGUCAGUGAGACAAGCAGGACUCUCAUAGAGGUCUCAAAAUCAGAUCCUACCUUCAGCAAGCAACUAAGUGUCCCUGCCAUCUUUAAAGGGAGGCAUUAUUACAGGCAGAUCCUAUGAACUUGGGACUUGAACUAACUACUUUUUUAAAGUGAUUUUGCUGUUAAUUACUUUUUCUUUUCUUCCAGCAGCUACCUUUUCUUUCCUUCAUUUCUUUUACCUUGUUUCUCCCUGUACCUUAAUAAAAAUUUUUUUCCACCAACUCAACAAAGGAUGCCAUAAAACACAAAUAUAAAAAUAAGUCAAUAAUUUUUCCACUUGUAAAUUACUUAUAGUGAUUUUCUAUUUGGCUUUGCAGCUUCUAAUCUUACUGUAGAGACAAGACAUAAAACAUACUUGAGGAAGGAAAUAAGCUAAAAUAUCAACAUAAAUUGCAUUGGGAAAAUGUUUUUCAUUACUGUAUUUUGCAAAUUCUUUGAAAGAAAAAAUCUGUGAAAAAUGCAGCCAAACUAUUGAAUAGUAACUCUUAUUUAUUGAAUAAAUGACUAGCUAAAGUUAAGUAUAACGUUUCCUCCAUUAUCGUAUCCAUAGGGUGAGCCUAUGGCAGUGGCCAGAACUUGCAAAUAGCAUGCUUGGUUCCCACAGCAAAGAACACACACAAACACUACAUGCAUAUUGAGUAAACAGUAAUGAUGGUCAUCAAAACUAUAAUUUCAGAAUCAUAAGAUUAAAAGGGAUUAACAUUUUCUUUCUUACCAUUAUAAAUAAAAAAGUUUAAUAUAAUAAACCCAAAACAUCAACUCAUCUAAACAAAAUAUUAUUGGUAAAUCUAUAAAGUACUCAUUCCCCAAUCUUUAUUUUUAGGCAAAUACAAAGGCUAUGAGCACAGAAAAAAAUAAAUAAUUUACCUAGAGAAAUGACUAUAAUUAUAAUACUAUAAUUUAUAAUACAAUAUAAUUUAAUACUAUAUCUUUGUCUUUUUAUUGUGCAUAUAUUAUAUAAAAUUUCUUCCAGAAUCUAUUGUGUUUGUCAGUAUCUAUUAUGUUGUUUACUGCCUCUUUCGUAAAGUAUCCAAAAUACAUUUCUCUAACAGUUUAGUACUAGGAAAAUGUUUGUCUUUCUAGAAAAACUGGAAGGCUUAUUGUUAUUUCACAAAGAUAGAUGUACUGCCCAUUAUAUGCUCCUUUUUGCUUUGGCUGUUAAGCAAACUCAGAGCUAGGUUUUGCACUCAACUGCUGUUACUUUCUUUAACUUAGGUUUUAUGGAAUUUUCUGUCCUCCACCCCAAACCAUCAUUACUUGACUCAUGUUUUUACGCCCAUUUCAGAGCAUUGUCUUGUAUUAUAAAUCUCUUCAAAUUUUUUUUGGAAAUGGAUAGGUAUAAAUAUUAAAAGGGUGAAGAAAUAAGUAUU